CCUACGGGAGGCAACAGUGAGGAAUAUUGGUCAAUGGACGAGAGUCUGAACCAGCCAAGUAGCGUGAAGGAUGACUGCCCUAUGGGUUGUAAACUUCUUUUAUAUGGGAAUAAAAUGUUCCACGUGUGGGAUUUUGUAUGUACCAUAUGAAUACGGAUCGGCUAACUCCGUGCCAGCAGCCGCGGUAAUACGGAGGAUCCGAGCGUUAUCCGGAUUUAUUGGGUUUAACGGGAGCGUAGGUGGAUUGUUAAGUCAGUUGUGAAAGUUUGCGGCUCAACCGUAAAAUUGCAGUGGAUACUGGCAGUCUUGAGUACAGUAGAGGUAGGCGGAAUUCGUGGUGUAGCGGUGAAAUGCUUAGAUAUCACGAAGAACUCCGAUUGCGAAGGCAGUUCACUGGACUGCAACUGACACUGAGGCUCGAAAGUGUGGGUAUCAAACAGGAUUAGAUACCCCUGUAGUC
rnacentral:rRNA from 1 species